rnacentral:lncRNA from 1 species
AGUUGCAUAAAUUAUCGGAUAGUUCUUGUGAUUCAGAAGACGAAUCACUAGAAUUUUCUAUUUCAUUAAUUAAGUAAUCGCUAUCGGUUUCUUCAGAUAUUUCUGAUUCCGAUAUUAAUAAUUUAGUUAAUUUUUCUUGAAUAUCAGGUUGAUCUUGAAAGAUUUCAUUUAUUUUCUUUUUCAUUUUACAUUCUGUAGACUUAUGUCCUGGUCUUUUACAAUUAUAGCACACUAUCUUUUGUUUAUCAUUUGAUUUAUAUUUUUUAUUUUUUGAAUAAUAUUUGUUAGUUGGUUUUUUAUCAAAAUAUUUUUGAUAAUGUUUUGAUUUACUAGCUUUUCUUUGACUAUAUUUUAUUCUUUUAAUUCUAGAGGGAGGAUCUAAUCUAUCAUAACCAUAUUGCUUACAAAAUGAACCCAUAGUUGUUUUAAACUUAAAUUUAUCAUUUCUUUUCUUAUCUUUAUGUUCUUGACAUAUUGCUAAACCUUGUUUUUUAACAAAAGCGAAUAACUGACCGUAUGUAAUUGUGUUCCACGGUAUAGGUUGACCGCCUGAAUAAUCUUUUAAUUUGUUGAUUACUCUUUCUGCGAAAAAAGAUGGUAAUCCUGAGAUAAAUCUUUCUUUCCAGAAAGGUUGAUUACAAUCAUUUCUUUGGAAUAUGUUGGUUACGAAUAUAUCUUUGUACCAUUUAAAAUCUCCUAAUGUUGGACAUCUUAAAUUGGUUAAUACUAUUUUUUUGCUUUCUAAUUCUUCAGUAGGAUUUCCUAUAAAAUGCAUAGUUAAAGUAUUGAUUAAUACUUCUACUGCAUUUUGAUGUUCUAUUUCUUCAUAUAAGCCAUCUUCAUAUUCUACUUUUCUAAUUUCUACGUGAUUAAUUAUUGAAUCUUUGAACAGUAACUUAGAACAACAGUAACCGUGAACAGUAACUUUGAACAGUAACUUUGAAUAGUAAACAAAAUUUCAUAUUUUUUUUGAAAUCGAAAUACAAGGAUUAGAAAUUUGAAUUACAAAGAUAAAUUUAAAACUUGAAACUAAAAAGCUUUUACAAUUUUUAGAGAGAAAGGAGAGCUUUUUAGAGAGAGAGAAUCUGAAUUUUGCUCGUGUCCUUCUCUUUUGUUUUGAGAGCAUAUUUAUAGGAGAAGGUUGUGUAUAGAGUCUUGAUACGUGGAGCUCAUCAGAUGGUGCCGACACUCUUGUGACACGUGUCAUUCAUCUAACGGUGCCGACAGUUUUGAUUACGACAUUGCUUACGUCCUUGCUUACGUCAUCACUAACGUCUUGAUUGCGUCAUAAUUCCUGUGUCUUGAUUUAUUCUUCGAUUUUACAGAGAUAUACUCUGUUUAUUAUUUUUAAACAAUAAAUUUAAAACGUUGAAUAAUCUACGUUAUUUUUAAAUAAUAUACAGAGUCUACUAGAAUAUACUUUGGAAAUCAUAAAUUUAUACAAUCCCACUAUUGGUUUUUUUUUUUUUUUUUUUACAUUUCUAACGGAUCCUGGCCUAAUGGUCCACCAAAUUGGUCAUCGGGAUGAGGAUCGUUUGAAUCUGAGUCAUUUGCUUGCAUAACCUCGUCAUCGUCAUCGUCCGAGGUUUCCAUGUGUUGGCUAAGAGCAGCGAGUAUUUGUUUAAGCUUGUUUUUCUUGGAGGACUUUUUGGAGUUGGAUGAGCCCGUUGAGUUUGUUGGGCUCUGUGGUCUUUUGGUAUUUGGUGAGGAUUUUGGGAUGGAUUGUUGAGUAAAUUGGUCUGGUGUUACGAGGGGUACGGAUUUGGAGACGGCACGGACAGUUGUCGCGACUUCUUUGGUAAUUUGGAAGAAUUUUUGGAUAUUGGCUAAAGAACAGCGGUCUAAAUUAUAUUUAUCCCACCAUUUGAUACAGAAUUCGCGGACAAGGGAAUAUGGCAUAUCUGGUAAAUGAGGUAUGAGGUUAUAGGGCCAUGAACAUAUCCAAGGUAUGCCCAUGUCUAUGUGGAAGUGUAUGUUAGUUAAUGGUAGUAUCGGUGUUUUGGGUGCAUAUUUGGUAUAAAAAGGUAAAGAGGUUUUGGUAAUUUCUGUUGGGUGAAUUUGGUCUGUUGGGCCAAACCAGUGCCACCAUUCAUAGAACAAUCCUGGUAUAGUUUUUGGACAUUUAUGGUCUAAGGAUAUAAACCAUGAAUGGUCAUAUGCUUUUAGGUAAAAAAGACGGAAGAAGGCAUUUUGAUAAUCGACUUAGGUGUAGCGUGGGAUAUGGUAACCUGAAGCUGAGAAGUGGUAGUAUGGUGGUGAAUGAAACCAAGGUCUUGAAUAGAACAAACCCGUAAUAUCUUACAGGUUGAGUAUUUAGGUUCGGAUGUAUGUGGGUAGUGAGUAAUUUCUACAGACUUAGAGUCUACUAGAAUAUACUCAUAAAAAGUACGGUUUUUGAUUAUAUUGUCAGUAGGAUACUGACAGUCUUCAUAAAGAUAUCGACUAACAAAGGUUUUGAGUUGUUGUAGGGUUGUUGGUUUGGUAAAGUUGGUGGUAAUAAGGUGUUCUUUUGGGUUUUAGUAAUGUAAGGGGUUUUUUGAGAAGGUUGAGAAGUUGUUGGAAUAGAUGGUUGACCUUUUUCUGUGGCAACUGCUUUUGAGUAGGAGAGUGGAGGAAAUUCAGCAAGAGCCGAAUAAGAGUUUUGAAUAGAUAGGGGCUUGCCCUGAAGACUUGGUUGACUUUUGAUAUAAUCCGAUGCAGUCAUCGGUCUUUUCUUAUUUGGGUCACUCAUCUUGAUUAUUUAAUUGGUUGCCAGUUUUUCCCUGUAAAUAUUCUCUCGCUAGAAAAUCACGUAAAGAAUUAUUCUCUCCUUUGAUAUAUUUGGAUAUCGAAAUCAAAUACUGAUAAAAUAGCUUGUCAUCUUGCAAAAAUUUGUUUUGAAACUAAAUUUUUUACAUCUUUUUGUAAAAUCUCUUUUGCUGACUUACAGUCAACACGAAGUAAAAAUUUUUUAUUUAUUAAAUCAUCUUGAAAUUUUGAAAUGCAGUUAACUAUAGAAAGGACUUCUUUUUUAACGGUAGAAUAGUUUCUUUGGGGUCCUAUCCAGACUCCUGAAUGGAACCUAACUAUAGACUCUUGGCUAGAUUCCAGAAGUUUUGGUUUAAGGAUUCCUCCAUAACCUAUUUCUGAAGCAUCGGUUUCGACAAUCAUAUCGGCUUCAGGGUUUGGUAUGGAUAGACAAGGGAGAGUUUUGACUUUCUGCUUAAUCUGUUGAACUAAUUGGGUAUGUUUAUGGGUCCAAGGUUAAGGGUUUUCUGUAAUCUUUGAAAUAAAGGUUGAAUGGUUUUCCUAAGGUUUGGUAGGAAAUCGGAAACAUAAUUUAGACAUCCUAAAAAUCUCUGUAAUUGAGUUUUUUCUCUUAAUUCAUUUGGAAAUUUAUCUGCAAAUUCUAUUGCUCUUGAUAUUGGUGUUAUGGUUCCUUGUUAAAUAUUGUGUCCUAAAAAUCUUAUUUUUGUUUGGAAUAAAGACAUUUUUUUGGCAGAUAAGACUAAACCAUGUUUUUUUUACUAUAUUUAAAAAUGUGUUUAAAUGGUUAAUAUGUUGAUCUAUUGAUGUUGAAUAUACUAGUACAUCAUCAAUAUAAACAAUGGUGAAAUUUGAAUAAUUAUUAAAUAUAUCAUUCAUUAUGUGUUGAAAUUCGGAUGGUGCAUUUUUUAAUCCAAAUGGCAUUACGUUCCAUUCAUAAUGACCGAAUGGUACGGUGAAUGCCGUUUUAUAUUUAUCGUGUUCGGCAAUUUGAAUUUGCCAGAAGCCGCUUUUCAUAUCAAAUUUUGAAUAAAUUUUUGCAUUAUAAAGUCGUUUUAAUAAAUGUCUUUUAUUGGAUAUUGGAUACCUAAUCCACUGUAAAACAUCAUUAAGUGGUUUAUAAUUGAUUACUAAUCUGGGUACACCACGUUUCUUUUCGGCUUGAUUAUUUACAUAGAAGGCCGAACAACUCCAUGGGGAUUUGGAUGGCCUUAUUAAUUUUUUAUUUAAUAAAUCUGUUAUUUUUUGUUUACAAUGUUCUAAUAAUUCUUUAUUCAUUUGAAUAGGUCGAGCUUUGGUUGGUAUAUUUUUUUCACUAAAUUCUUUGAUAUAAGGAAGUUCUACGGUAUGUUGUUUUCUUUUUUAAAAGGCGUUUGGUAAUUCUGAACAUACCUGUUUUAAAAGUUCAUUUUCUAUUGAUUUAAUUUUGCUUACUGUAUAAGGGGUUUUAAAUUGUUCUUCUAUUCUUUUGUAAGCUAUUUCAUCUUGUAAAUAUUGUAUAUGAUUUUGUUUUCUUUUAAUUAGAUUAAUAGUUUUUUGAAUAGUAUUUUGUUGUAAAUUUAAAACUUCUUUGGUUUUCAUGGGUGAUAAAAAUUUAAAUAAUAAUUUCGUGCCAACUACUUUCGUGGUUAUUCCUGUUCUGUUACUUUAAAUGGAUAUAUUUGCGUAAAGAAUGGAGUUCCUAAUAUUACUUCUUGUGAAAGAUUUUUGACUAAGAUAAAUUGAUUUUUAAAACAGUAUCCUUGAUUACAUAUUUUUCCACAAGGUAAUUUAUAUUGUACCUUUAAACUACUGCCAUUAGCACUACUUAGGCGUUCAUUAGUUUUCUCAUAAUAUUUUGUUGGUAUAAAUCCUUCACGGAUACAGUUAUAAUCUGCUCAUGUAUCCAUUAGGGCGAUUAUAUUAAUUUUAAAACCAUGUCCUACAUGUAGGGUAAUAUUUGUAUACCAUUUUUGAUAAUUUAUUUUAUUAAUUAUUUGAAUAUAAUCUUCAUUAUCUUCUGUUUUUCUUUGAUUAUUUGUUUCUGAAAUUUGGUUACUUGUAGAUACUUGAGAAUUAUUUCUAUUUUCUAUUAGAGAUAGUCUAGCAUCUACUUGUAGUUGUUUUAAUUCUUGUUGAUUAAUCGUUAGCUGUAGUUCCUUGACUUGAGAUUUUAGUUGUUUGAUUUCAUUUUGAAGUUCUCCUGUAGUUACUUGUUUAAAUAAACUUUGAGUAGGAUAUUUUUCGAAUAUUUUGUUUAAACUAAAAGGUUGUGGAGUAGAUAAUUGAUUUUCUUGAUAAAUUAUUUCUUUUAAUUUUAUUAAAUAUUAUUUUUUAAUUUCUGGAUCAUCUAUUUUAUCUAUUAUAUCAAGUAAGAAUUGUUUAUCAGUUUCUUUUGUUAUUACAUUAAUUGUUUUGCAGUUGCAUAAAUUAUCGGAUAGUUCUUGUGAUUCAGAAGACGAAUCACUAGAAUUUUCUAUUUCAUUAAUUAAGUAAUCGCUAUCGGUUUCUUCAGAUAUUUCUGAUUCCGAUAUUAAUAAUUUAGUUAAUUUUUCUUGAAUAUCAGGUUGAUCUUGAAAGAUUUCAUUUAUUUUCUUUUUCAUUUUACAUUCUGUAGACUUAUGUCCUGGUCUUUUACAAUUAUAGCACACUAUCUUUUGUUUAUCAUUUGAUUUUUAUUUUUUAUUUUUUGAAUAAUAUUUGUUAGUUGGUUUUUUAUCAAAAUCUUUUUGAUAAUGUUUUGAUUUACUAGCUUUUCUUUGACUAUAUUUUAUUCUUUUAAUUCUAGAGGGAGGAUCUAAUCUAUCAUAACCAUAUUGCUUACAAAAUGAACCCAUAGUUGUUUUAAACUUAAAUUUAUGAUUUCUUU